rnacentral:tRNA from 1 species
GCCUAGUUAGCUUAGUUGGUAGCGCGUCUGUCUUGUAAGCUCUAGGCCGCGGGUUCGAUUCCCACCCGGGGCG